rnacentral:rRNA from 1 species
AUGGCCAUGGCGUUGAUGGAGGUCACCGACGUCGUCCGCGCCAGGGCCGGCUGCUCUUCGUGGCGCUCCGCCUACGCUGAGUUCCGCCGCCUCUGCCUCGCCGCGAAGCCCAACCCACCGCCCUGCCUAAUGCACGCCACCGCCGACGGUGCUGCCGCGAUCUACUCGCCGUCCACCGGUGCCACCUUCCCGUGCGGCGGUGGUGGCAACGGCUUCGUCACCGGCAGCUCGGCGCACGGGUGGGUGUUCGCUGCAGACGUGGCCACGGCCAACCCUUGCCUGCUCAACCCUCUCACCGGUACCCGUGCCGCACUCCCGGCCAUCGCCACCCUCGCGCACGUCAAGGGCACCUUCUUUGACGACGACGGCACCGCGGUGUGGUUUCAGUCAAGGGAGAUCAUGCACGGUGAGAAGCCAAUGUGCCGCGUGAAGCUGGCAUUCCCGGGUGACGCGGUGGUGCAUGCAAGUGAUAAAGCCAACGGGCUGCACAAGAUAUCUAGUCAAGAUAGUAUGCAUGUCCGUGUGUGUGUUAGUGGAAGAAGAAUAGGUCGUGGAGUUAGUUGAGGCGGCACGAUGACGGUGGCAUGCAGCCACAGGUCGGUCUUCCUCCUCGCCGUGAUCCCGAACGCCUCCGCCAUGUCCAGCUCGUCCGUCCCCCCGGGUACAUCCCAGUCGAAAUGGAAGAGGAGGCUCGCCAGCGCGACCUCCAUGACGGCGAGCCCGAACGUGAUCCCGGGGCACAUCCUCCGCCCCGCGCCGAACGGCACAAGCUGGAAGUUCGUCCCUCUGAAGUCCACCGCCGCCGCGGAUUCCUCCUCGAACCUUUCCGGCCGGAACUCCUCGGUGUCCGGCCCCCAGCUCGACGCGUCCCGGCCGAUGGCCCACGCGUUGACCAGCACCAUGGCGCCCUGGGGCACGGCGUACCCGAGGACGCGACUGGGCUCGCAGCACUCCCGCGGGAGGAGCAGCGGCACUGCCGCGUGCAGCCAGAGCGUCUCCUUGAUCACCAGCCGCAGGUACGGCAGCUCCUGCAGGCCCUCCUCUCGGGCGCGGCUCUGCCCGGCGAGCGCGCUGCACACCUUCGCCUGCGCCUCCGGAGCGCCGCCGGUUUCCGCACCAGCUCCGCCAUGGCCCACUGCAACGUCGACGCCGAGGUCCGCUCCCGGCCCCGAAGAGAUCCCCCAUCAUAGCACGGACGGUCCCCAUGUCGAGAGGCGCGCCGGAAGUGAUUUUGGUGGUGGCUUCUAUGGAUUUGUUCCUCCAAUGAUUUCUGAGUUGGUUGUUCCUGGACCAGAAGAAGAAGAAGCUCAUAACUUCCUAGCUGCCAAACAACAAAUGCUAGAGCAACUCAAAGUGAACUUGCUGCAAGCUCAGAACAGAAUGGAGAAAUAUGAAGAUCUCAAAAGAAAGGAAAGACUAUUUGAGGUAGGAGAUAUGGUGUAUCUCAAGAUGGCACCAUACCGAUUCAGUGGAGCUCUGAAAUUGCAACACAAGUAUUAUGGUCCAUUUGUGAUUGUGCAAAGGAUAGGCAACUCUGCUUACAAACUCCAGUUUCCAGAUCAUGUGAAAAUUCACCCAGUUUUUCAUGUGAGCCAAUUAAAAAAGCACAUUGGUCCAACAUCCAUCCCUAGUAAGAACCUUCCAAUGGUCAAUCAAGAUGGGACCAUCAAAACUGGACCAGCAGAAGUUCUACAAGUCAGACAGGUUCCUAGGCAUAAUGUGCCGGUGGUGCAAUGGUUAAUACAAUGGCAAAAUCUCUCGGAGAAUGAAGCUACCUGGGAGGAUGCAAACUUCAUUAAGAGGACGAGACGACGGUCUAAAGGGCGGCGGCUGGUGGCAGCGGCGGCGGGGCAGGUCGCACGGUGGGCGCGCCGACACUGCUUCUCGCUCCCAAAACAACAGCGGGCACCAGCAUCACCGGUGAUCCCAAAGCUAGACGCUCAUGGCGACAAUGACGACAACGACCGGGACUGCUGGUCCGGGCUGCCGGAGGACGUGCUGCUCACGGCCAUGACGUUGAUGGAGGUCACCGACGUCGUCCGCGCCGGGGCCGUCUGCUCUUCGUGGCGCUCCGCCUACGAUGAGUUCCGCCGCCUCCGCCUCCCCGCGAAGCCCAACCCACCGCCCUGCCUAAUGCACGCCAGCGCCGACGGUGCUGCCGCGAUCUACUCCCCGUCCACAGGUGCCACCUUUCCAUGCGGCGGUGGCGGCAGCGGCUUCAUCACCGCCGGCUCGGCAUACGGGUGGGUGUUCGCCGCAGACGUGGCCACGGCCAACCCUUGCCUGCUCAACCCUCUCACCGGGGCGCGGGCCGCGCUCCCGGCCGUCGCCACCCUGGCGCGCGUCAAGGGCACCUUCUUUGACGACGACGGCACCGCCGUGUACGACGUGGACCACGCGUUCGGCGGCGGCGCCCCGGACAUGCAGCUCGUCACAGCGCGAACGGUCCGCAACUGGAUGUUCCGCCACGUCACCAUCUCUGCCGCCGGUAUCGUCCUCCUGGUGAACAUGCCACACGGGGAGGCCUCCUAUGCCAGGCCAGGCGACGAGCGCUGGACCUCGCUCUCCUCCUACCUCGAACCCGACGCCAUCGCCGUUGUCCACAACGACGAUGACGGUCUUUUCUACGUGCUAUGCGAAGGCGGUGGCAUCCUCUUCGCGGUGGUCGUUGAUGGACCGGCGGCGCCGACGGCAUGGCCCAUGUCGUACCUGAUCACAACCUUCGACCGGAGGCACACUCACUACCUCGUCCUCCGCGGCGGCGAGCUCCUGCUGGUGACAAGGCAACUGCUUCUGAGGAGACCACGAGAGGGCGAGAAGGUUAUCUCCACGACGGACAUUUGCGUCGACAAGGUUGGUCUCGCUAGGUCUAAGUUGGUGAGACUGGCCGGCAUUGGGGAGGACUAUGCCUUGUUCCUUGGAUACGGAUCGCCGGUGUGCCUUCCGGUGAAGGAAUAUCCCAUGUUACGGCGUAAUUGUGCAUAUCUUGCCGACAACAGCGAGCAACACUUCCCGCCGAUCACCCGGCGAGACGUUGGCAUCUGGGAUUUUGAGAGCAGGAGCAUGAGCAAGUUCGAGGAUCUGCACCCUUGGCUGGAUAACCAGCCCCCUAUCUGGAUAACACCAUCUCUUUACUAG